GACGAACGCUGGCGGCGUGCCUAAUACAUGCAAGUCGAACGCACAGUUUAUACCGUAGCUUGCUCCACCAUAGACUGUGAGUUGCGAACGGGUGAGUAACGCGUAGGUAACCUGCCUGGUAGCGGGGGAUAACUAUUGGAAACGAUAGCUAAUACCGCAUAAUAUUGAUUAUUGCAUGAUAAUUGAUUGAAAGAUGCUAUUGCAUCACUACCAGAUGGACCUGCGUUGUAUUAGCUAGUAGGUGAGGUAACGGCUCACCUAGGCGACGAUACAUAGCCGACCUGAGAGGGUGAUCGGCCACACUGGGACUGAGACACGGCCCAGACUCCUACGGGAGGCAGCAGUAGGGAAUCUUCGGCAAUGGACGAAAGUCUGACCGAGCAACGCCGCGUGAGUGAAGAAGGGUUUCGGAUCGUAAAGCUCUGUUGUAAGAGAAGAACGGGUGUGAGAGUGGAAAGUUCACACUGUGACGGUAGCUUACCAGAAAGGGACGGCUAACUACGUG
rnacentral:rRNA from 1 species